rnacentral:lncRNA from 1 species
GAUGAUUUGAGAUCCAAUAGAAUAGGGUUUUACAAGGGUUUUUGUAUUAAAGAAUAAAACUUAAACAUUCUGAGGAGGGGACUCCCCUUUUAUCCAUUUCGUCUUGCUUGCUGGUGACGUGUAAAGGUCUCUCCAGGAUUGGGCCACGCGUCUCUGCCAUACAGAUUCGGGCGUACGAGGGUAUCAGGCGCCUGCCCCAUGCGUAACG